rnacentral:lncRNA from 1 species
CUGCAGUCAGCCAGUCAGUCAGUCAGUCAGUCAUUCAGCCAGUCAGCCAGCCAGCCAGCCAAAUGAAUGUGAGUGAUUUCAUUACUGUCGUGUUGCUAGUGGAGCUGGAGACAGCAGCUGCUACAGGAAAUCUGAGGAUUUCUGAGGAAAUACAGGAAGUCUCCAUAAAUUCAGCCAGCUGACAUUUAGGACUACGUAAAUACAUUACUUUGGUUUGAAGAUGAGAAGAAUAGACAUCCAGCGAAGGGAGAUGAAAUAUGGCGUCUGUCUUAGUAAUGCUGCUGUUACAAAUUGUUCAUGCAUGAUGCCAAACCAACGGUAAAGCUCUACUACUAACCAUGAGAAACAACUCAGAACUAACUGUCUGUGUGAUUAAGUUCGUAAUGCGUAGACGGGCAUUUUGUUUCAUCACACUCACAGGUAGGCAUAUUUACCAUAUGUAGGUAUAUUUACCCUAUGUAAGCAUAUUUACCCUAUGUAGGUAUAUUUACCCUAUGUAGGCAUAUUUACCCUAUGUAGGUAUAUAUACCCUAUGUAGGUAUAUUUACAGUAUGUAGGCAUAUUUACCCUAUGUAGGUAUAUUUACCCUAUGUAAGCAUAUUUACCCUAUGUAGGUAUAUUUACCCUAUGUAAGCAUAUUUACCCUAUGUAUGCAUAUUUACCCUAUGUAGGCAUAUUUACCCUAUGUAUGCAUAUUUAACCUAUGUAGGAAUAUUUACCCUAUGUAGGUAUAUUUACCCUAUGUAGGCAUAUUUAACCUAUGUAGGCAUAUUUACCCUAUGUAGGCACAUUUACCCUAUGUAGGCCAUGGCACAUAUCUUCAAUUCAUCUGCUGUUGUUUUGCGUGUCAGAGACUUGAAAGGCCAAUACGGUUCUGCAGAAAAAGAGUUUCAUUUCCCUGUUCUUUCUGAAACCACUUCAGCACUACUCACCACAAGUUCCUCCUGCAAACGUUACAUGAACCGUAUGGCACUCUGGUACAUCUCUGUCCUCUCAGAAGACACAGCAGCUAUGCAUACUUUGUGUCUCGGCGGGGAAAAUGCACUAGCUAGAAUUUGGGAAUAGCUCUCUGUGGAAGUAAAUUCAUGAAGUUAGAAUUUAUUUGGGCCACACACAGGUUAAGAGUUUGUUGGGUCAAUUCUGUACGAUCGUGG